rnacentral:rRNA from 1 species
UACAGAGGGGGCAAGCGUUGUUCGGAAUUACUGGGCGUAAAGGGCGCGUAGGCGGCCUUCUACGUCGAACGUGAAAUCCCCGGGCUCAACCCGGGAACUGCGUCCGAUACUGGAAGGCUUGAAUUCGGGAGAGGGAUGCGGAAUUCCAGGUGUAGCGGUGAAAUGCGUAGAUAUCUGGAGGAACACCGGUGGCGAAGGCGGCAUCCUGGACCGGCAUUGACGCUGAGGCGCGAAAGCCAGGGGAGCAAACGGG